rnacentral:rRNA from 1 species
AUUGAACGCUGGCGGCAGGCCUAACACAUGCAAGUCGAACGAGUGGCGGACGGGUGAGUAAUGUCUGGGAACCUGCCUGAUGGAGGGGGAUAACUACUGGAAACGGUAGCUAAUACCGCAUACCAUCGGAUGUGCCCAGAUGGGGUUAGCUAGUAGGUGGGGUAAAGGCUCACCUAGGCGACGAUCCCUAGCUGGUCUGAGAGGAGGACAAGCCACACUGGAACGGGGACACGGUCCAGACUCCUACGGGAGGGAGCAGUGGGGAAUAGGGCACAAUGGGCGGAAGCAUGAUGCAGCCAUGCGGCGUGUAUGAAGAAGGCCUUCGGGUUGGAAAGUACUUUCAGCGGGGAGGCGUUACCCGCAGAAGAAGCACCGGCUAACUCCGUGCCAGCAGCCGCGGUAAUUC